AGUGAACGCUGGCGGUAUGCCUAACACAUGCAAGUCGAACGGCAGCACAGUAAGAGCUUGCUCUUACGGGUGGCGAGUGGCGGACGGGUGAGGAAUACAUCGGAAUCUACUUUUUGGUGGGGGAUAGCGUAGGGAAACUUACGCUAAUACCGCAUACGACCUACGGGUGAAAGCAGGGGAUCUUCGGACCUUGCGCGAUAGAAUGAGGCGAUGUCGGAUUAGCUAGUUGGCGGGGUAAAGGCCCACCAAGGCGACGAUCCGUAGCUGGUCUGAGAGGCUGAUCAGCCACACUGGAACUGAGCCACGGUCCAGACUCCUACGGGAGGCAGCAGUGGGGAAUAUUGGACAAUGGGCGCAAGCCUGAUCCAGCCAUACCGCGUGGGUGAAGAAGGCCUUCGGGUUGUAAAGCCCUUUUGUUGGGAAAGAAAAGCAGCAGGUUAAUACCCCGCUGUUCUGACGGUACCCAAAGAAUAAGCACCGGCUAACUUCGUG
rnacentral:rRNA from 1 species